AACGAACGCUGGCGGCAUGCCUAACACAUGCAAGUCGAACGAUGCCUUCGGGCAUAGUGGCGCACGGGUGCGUAACGCGUGGGAAUCUGCCCUUGGCUUCGGAAUAACAGUUAGAAAUGACUGCUAAUACCGGAUGAUGUCCCCCUGAGAGAUCUUGGGGACCAAAGAUUUAUCGGCCAGGGAUGAGCCCGCGUAGGAUUAGGUAGUUGGUGGGGUAAAGGCCUACCAAGCCGACGAUCCUUAGCUGGUCUGAGAGGAUGAUCAGCCACACUGGGACUGAGACACGGCCCAGACUCCUACGGGAGGCAGCGGUGGGGAAUAUUGGACAAUGGGGGGAACCCUGAUCCAGCAAUGCCGCGUGAGUGAUGAAGGCCUUAGGGUUGUAAAGCUCUUUUACCAGGGAUGAUAAUGACAGUACCUGGAGAAUAAGCUCCGGCUAACUCCGUG
rnacentral:rRNA from 1 species